AUUGAACGCUGGCGGCAUGCCCUACACAUGCAAGUCGAACGGCAGCGGGGGAGAAGCUUGCUUUUCCUGCCGGCGAGUGGCGAACGGGUGAGUAAUACAUCGGAACGUGCCCUGUAGUGGGGGAUAACUAGUCGAAAGAUUAGCUAAUACCGCAUACGACCUGAGGGUGAAAGUGGGGGACCGCAAGGCCUCAUGCUAUAGGAGCGGCCGAUGUCUGAUUAGCUAGUUGGUGGGGUAAAGGCCUACCAAGGCGACGAUCAGUAGCUGGGAUGGGAGGACAAUCAGCCACACGGGGCAUGAGACACGGCCCAGACUCCUACGGGAGGCAGCAGUGGGGAAUUUUGGACAAUGGGCGAAAGCCUGAUCCAGCAAUGCCGCGUGUGUGAAGAAGGCCUUCGGGUUGUAAAGCACUUUUGUCCGGAAAGAAAUGGCUCUGGUUAAUACCUGGGGUCGAUGACGGUACCGGAAGAAUAAGGACCGGCUAACUACGUGCCAGCAGCCGCGGUAA
rnacentral:rRNA from 1 species